UCGUCACUGUACAACUAAAGAUUAGAUAAAGAAUUGGCAUAACAUGUCUUUAUUAGCGUUGGUUAGCAAACUAUUGUAAUUCAUUAUCGUCAAUAUGGCGGUAAUUUCGCCGCCCAAAUUAAGGAACCCAGCCAUACAUAUGGCGGUGUCGAUCACUUUGCCAUAUCAGACUGAACUCUGCAUUACAAUAUAACUACUAAUACUUUGCUUGUAAAAAUGACUUGUUAGCUAACGUAUUUAUACAUUUUCAGCUGUGGCUGCAUCUGCACCCAGGAAGUCAUUGGGUGCCUCGAGUUCUGCUAAUGCAUUAAGCAGCUCUCAAGCAGGCACACCUGCGAAGAGUAAAUUUGCUGGUGGUAAUCCUGUGUGCCCUCGGCCCAACCCCAAUUUGGCAGAAGGGAAUUGGAGAUUUCUUUGGUGGGCCCAGCAGGAAGCCUGACAAAGAGAACCACCUCCCCCAAUCAGAUGAUGAAGAGGCCGGAGUCAGUGGAGUGUCCAAGUCAUCCAGGAAAUCCAGACCACUGCCUGCUGAAGAUGAGGGUGAAUGAAGCUUAGCCAAUGGUGCCCCCACUUGAAAGCCAUUGGCUCUAAUACUUGAAUGGGCUGGGUAUAUCUGUGUAUAUAAUUAUUGAUUAAUUCAUGUUUUUGUACAGAUGUUUAAUAAACUUUUUUAUUAAGCUUCGAUCCCA